rnacentral:tRNA from 1 species
UUCCCGGAGGACUAGUGGUUAGGCCUCGGCGCUCUCACCGGCGUGGCCUGGGUUUGAUUCCCAGCCAGGGAA